rnacentral:lncRNA from 1 species
GUGGGAUUCUAUGAGAGGCAGAGGAAUUUACCCUGAGACAAUCCAUCACUGUGUUUGUUCCUCAUCAGUUGCUAACCUUCCUGGAACAGAAAGGGAGGCUAUUGGCUUACUUCAGCAUGAAUGGACAACUACUACGCCAGGCCAUCCUUCUGGAUGACCCAAAUAUAACUUUGCAAACAACCAUGGAGCUAAACCCAGCCACCUUGCUCCUGGCCACUGAUCCUGACCAUGAACUAGAACACAAUUGUCUGGAAAUUCUUGAUCAUUUAAUUCUAGGAAGCCAGAUCUGUCUGACCAAAGCUCUAGACUGGGAGCUUUACACCAACAGAAGACACUUCAUGAGAAAUGGAUGAUGCCAAGAAGGGUACGUUAUGGUGACUGCAGAUAGGAUAAUGGAGACCCAUGUUCUUCCCUACUGGCACCUCGGCACAAAAAGCUGAACUAAUUGCUCUUACCAGACCAUUAGAACUGACAUAUGGAAAGCAGGGCCUCAUAUCCCAUGGAUGAACCUCUUCACCUUUUCUGCCCAGGGAAUAUGGUGCUACUACAGUCCUGCAAAAACCAACGGCCAGACCAGCAGCUAGCCAAAGAGUGGACAGGACUUCAUAAGGUGCUGCUGACCACUCAUUUCUCUGAGAAACAGGCUGGAAUCAAGCCAUGGUUACCACAUAUUCAGAUAAAGACAGCUCCUCCUCAACCCAAUACCUCAUACAACCAGCCCACUUCGUCAGGUGAGCCAAGAGAAGAUCUAAAGUUCCUAACAAAGAAAAAUCAGAUAGAUAAGUAGUACCCUUCUGUUACCAUGAAGUUCUUAAUUAAUUUUAUAGUCAUAAGUACAUUCUUUAUCUUUCUUAAAGCUAACAUUUUCACUGAAUGGGCCAGAUGGCGGCUUCCCUCCAGAAUUAAGAAAUACUGUUGGGUCUAAGGGAAACUACCAUUUUUUUUUCCACCAUAGGCUGUUUAUGGUGCAUACAAGCCAUUAAUGGGAGAACUUGGAGUUAUUUUUAUACUUAGGAUGAGAGUUCUCAUUUAUUUCCCUUCUAUAAUUACAGUACCACUCACCAUGAGUUCCCCACCUUUGAGGAAACAAAGAAACAUCUUUUUCAUCUGGUCUGUAAACGAGUUAAUGUCACUCCCACCAUAAGUUAUGCCACACAUGAUGGCAUAGGAUGUCUAACAGCAGUGCAAAUACAGGUAAUGGAUCAAGCACCACUGUGCAUCAAGAGACACAAUAGCAGCACACUCCAAACUAUCACCCAUAAUAUGGAAUGACUUCCUCAUCAACAAUUUAACCAAACCUUUCAACUGAUUGACAAUGUGUGGCUAAAGUGGCAGAGUAGCUCUCAUCUACCUGGUGGGGCCUAUCAUUCCCCCCUGGGAUUGGUUAUGGGUCUGCAGCAUGCAUGAUUGGCCUUACCCUAAAACUGAACUUCCAGAUGCACCUGGGGUUGACCCUACCUACCAAGAUGCAUUCUUCCUCAUUUAGACACUCUCCCUAGCAUCUGGCAAGUAUAAAGGCCAGGCACCACAGAAAUGGGCAUCCUGGUGGAUUUAUCCACUAGCCGUAUUUUCUCCCUGGGGCGACCAUGGAUGUAGAAUUACAGGUGGAGGCCCUGGCUAAGCAGAUGGCUGCUUUCUU